GCCAGCAUAGUCCAAUUAGGAUAUUAGUUUGUGAUACUAAUGAUAGAGGUUAGACCCCUCUUGCUCGCC
rnacentral:tRNA from 1 species